rnacentral:tRNA from 1 species
GGAAAGUUGCCCGAAAGGUUAAGGGAGCGGUUUGCUAAACCGUCGGUUGCGAUAGCGAUCUGAGUGUUCAAGUCACUCACUUUCCG